UCCGGUUUAACACCGGCAGUCUCCCUAGAGUCCCCAACUUAAUGAUGGUAACUAAGGACAGGGGUUGCGCUCGUUAUUGGACUUAACCAGACAUCUUACGACACGAGCUGACGACAGCCAUGCAGCACCUAUCUCCACGUCCCCGAAGGGAACACCUCAUCUCUGAGGCUAGCGUGGGAUGUUAAGGGUAGGUAAGGUUCUGCGCGUUGCGUCGAAUUAAACCACAUACUCCACCGCUUGUGCGGGCCCCCGUCAAUUCCUUUGAGUUUUAGCCUUGCGACCGUACUCCCCAGGCGGGAUACUUAAUGCGUUAGCUUUGGUACUCAGAGGGUUAAUUCUCCAAACACCUAGUAUCCAUCGUUUACAGCGUGGACUAC
rnacentral:misc_RNA from 1 species